AGUGAACGCUGGCGGUAGGCCUAACACAUGCAAGUCGAACGGCAGCACAGUAAGAGCUUGCUCUUACGGGUGGCGAGUGGCGGACGGGUGAGGAAUACAUCGGAAUCUACUUUUUCGUGGGGGAUAACGUAGGGAAACUUACGCUAAUACCGCAUACGACCUACGGGUGAAAGCAGGGGAUCUUCGGACCUUGCGCGAUUGAAUGAGCCGAUGUCGGAUUAGCUAGUUGGCGGGGUAAAGGCCCACCAAGGCGACGAUCCGUAGCUGGUCUGAGAGGAUGAUCAGCCACCCUGGAACUGAGACACGGUCCAGGCUCCUACGGGAGGCCGCAGUGGGGAAUAUUGGACAAUGGGCGCAAGCCUGAUCCAGCCAUACCGCGUGGGUGAAGAAGGCCUUCGGGUUGUAAAGCCCUUUUGUUGGGAAAGAAAAGCAGCAGGUUAAUACCCCGCUGUUCUGACGGUACCCAAAGAAUAAGCACCGGCUAACUUCGUG
rnacentral:rRNA from 1 species